UACGAAGGGGACUAGCGUUGUUCGGAAUCACUGGGCGUAAAGCGCACGUAGGCGGUUUGUCACGUCUGCUGUGAAAACUGGAGGCUCAACCUCCAGCCUGCAGUGGGUACGGGCAGACUAGAGUUCGGUAGGGGAGACUGGAAUUCCUGGUGUAGCGGUGAAAUGCGCAGAUAUCAGGAGGAACACCGGUGGCGAAGGCGGGUCUCUGGGCCGAUACUGACGCUGAGGAGCGAAAGCGUGGGGAGCGAACAGG
rnacentral:rRNA from 1 species